AACGAACGCUGGCGGCAUGCCUAACACAUGCAAGUCGAACGAGACCUUCGGGUCUAGUGGCGCACGGGUGCGUAACGCGUGGGAACCUGCCCUUAGGUUCGGAAUAACUCCCCGAAAGGGGUGCUAAUACCGGAUAAUGUCUUCGGACCAAAGAUUUAUCGCCUUUGGAUGGGCCCGCGUUGGAUUAGCUAGUUGGUAGGGUAAAAGCCUACCAAGGCGACGAUCCAUAGCUGGUCUGAGAGGAUGAUCAACCACACUGGGACUGAGACACGGCCCAGACUCCUACGGGAGGGAGGAGUGGGGAAUAGUGGAAAAUGGGCGAAAGCCUGAUCCAGCAAUGCCGCGUGAGUGAUGAAGGCCUUAGGGUUGUAAAGCUCUUUUACCCGGGAUGAUAAUGACAGUACCGGGAGAAUAAGCUCCGGCUAACUCCGUG
rnacentral:rRNA from 1 species